rnacentral:rRNA from 1 species
GGGUAGAGUAAUGCGUGACCAACCUGCCCCAUGCUCCAGAAUAGCUCUUGGAAACGGGUGGUAAUGCUGGAUGCUCCAACUUGACGCAUGUCUUGUUGGGAAAGUGUUUAGUGGCAUGGGAUGGGGUCGCGUCCUAUCAGCUUGUAGGCGGGGUAAUGGCCCACCUAGGCUUCGACGGGUAGCCGGCCUGAGAGGGCGGACGGCCACAUUGGGCUGAGAUACGGCCCAGACUCCUACGGGAGGCAGCAGCC